AUUAAAAUGUUUUAUAACAUUUUUUAAUUUUCAUGAAUAACUGUGGAAAGAUUUGAAUAGCAAUAGGUUGCAAUAAAUUUUAUCCAAAACUCCUAUUUCAACGGUAUAAUCCAAUACAUCCCAUUAAAAAUCUUCUGUUACUUUCUUAUUGAAUAAUUGUAUGAUUAUUUGUUGGUAGGUAGCGGUUGAAAUUCAAUGUAAGAUCAUUAAUAUUUUAAUAAAUCACAAUCGAUAUUUAUAGAUAUUAUUUAGCGGAGCACAGAAAACUUCCAGAAAAAUUAAUUAAUGUUAAAGUCGAUGAAUACGUGGAAUAUAUCCGGCAAAAAAUUGCGGACUUAAUUAGACCUCCGAAGAAGACGCCAUCAGAAGCAGCUGAAGCAACAAAGGAUGAUAAAAAAAAAAAUAAAAAAAAACUGCCAAAAGCUCGAAAGGGCAAACAAGAUGUUUCGAGCUCCAGUGAAAGUAGCGACUCCGGUGAAGACAGUGAAGCUUCAGACAGUGAAGAUGAUACCAACUAAGACAUUGCAUUAACUUUACUUUUUUCAAUAUUUAAUCAGAUAAAUUUUUUCUAUUUUCAAACUUCUUCAUUUUUAGUUAAUAA